GUACUGUAUACAACCAUGGAGGUAUAAAUUAGAUACAGUACCUCCUGAUUCAACCAUGGAGGCUAAUUCCUCCAUGAUCCAACCAACCAGCCACGAAAGCGCAUCUUGUCACCGCGACUGCGUAUGAAACUCUUGUAAUUGGAAGUCUCAAACUUACUCAAUUUAUCCUUUAGUUUGUAACUUUGUAGAUCAUGGACGUAAUAUUUGUUAAUAAUUGCUAAUGAUUUUUAUUAAUGUCAUACGUGUUAUUAUUCUUUUCAUCUGUUUCUAACGUCCUUUGAAUAUUAUCGGACAUAGAUGAUUUAUUUACUCUCCAUCUGAAAGAACCAUCAUAUGUGCGUUCAUUGUUUUCUGGUUAUACUCCAUCUUGCCGUCUCUGUUUCGGAGUCAUCUCUGCCAUCGGCCGAUAAUGAUCUGGCGCCAAACAUCGUGCAACUGCUGGUUCUCUUGACGUAGGCUUUCGUCAAGGUUGGAAUAAGUACAUGGUUAAGUAUACCAAAGCAUUUGUCAUCAUCACCACCACCACCAUCAUCGUAAAAAAACCACUGGGGUAAGCCAGUAAACUUAUAUAGUCAGUUUGAAUUAAAUAUACUUGAAUGUCAUUUUGUUUUAUAUUCAUACAAAAUACAUUAUCUUUUUAAGGUAUCUUAAGAUUCUACUAAUAAAUAAUAAUUUGCCUAACGGAAGGAAUAAUCUACCAUAAACUCAAUCACAUAAUUAUUUAUUGCAAAAUCAUUCAUUGUUAUCACAUUAAAUGAAUUGAAAAAUAACGGUUUAUAUUAUUAUUAUUGUUCAUCAGAUACUUUUGCAAACUCAGCAGAACAAAUACAAAUACAAAAACCAUUCAUCGACAGAAGGCAAACACGAACUAUUGUUCAUUUGUAACGAAGAUCUUCUCACAAACCUAGAAUAAAAAGAAAGAAAAACAUUGUAUUUGUUAGAUACAGGUACAUAAUCAAGAUGCUAUAUUUAUUUCUGUUUUAUAACAUGUAGGUUCUUCUAAUCAUUAAAGCAAUUACUCAGCAGGCUCUACUUUCUGCAAGAUCGACACUUUUGAUGUGAACGUACCGAAGUUUAAUCUUCUGUUGGGAUGUAUACACCUGGAAAGAAAUGAUCUGAAAAAAUAGUAUCAUAAUACUAAAUGAAUGUCAUAAUCAUAAAUUUCUCACCUCAGCCGCAUGCUUGGUGAGGCUAAUGUGAUCUAGCCACCACCCCCUGGAUUAUCACCCCGCUGCAAUUGCAUAUAUUUUCCACCUAUUUUCUUGAUUGCUGUAGUUUAGAAAAGCUGCCGAAACUGCAUGGCCACCCUCUUUAAAAUAAUACGAAGGUUCUGAUUAUCAGUGGGACGUACAGUAUUGCUGUAUUACGGGUGGUGGUAACACAAGUGGUGGAUUCAGGAGAUUCAUGGUACCAGAACGAGCAAAUGAAGAUUUUGAUAAUGGUGAAUCCACUCAGACUGAAGGAAGUGAAGAUCUAGCAGAGGGUGCAUUUCAGGAGCCGACGAGUCUUAGUAUCGACCUGCCGGGCGGGGAUCAGCCCAUUUCAAGUGAAGGAAGCGACAUGACGAGGAUGGAUUCUCUCAUAGCUGUCCUUUCUUUUUGCUGUGAAGCAUCACUUGUCUGGAAGCGCCCUUGAAGAUCUCAUAACACUUACUACUUUGCACUCUCCCAAUGCCUUACCAUCAUCGAAAUACCUAUUUGUAAUGAAUACAUAGAAUGUGGUGACGAUAUUGUAUACACGUGCAAUAAGUGUGGAAAGGAAUUUGUCAAAGAAGAUAGCAUGAAAAAUGACAGGUGGUCAUGAACAUACUGUAACUGAUAUUACUGAUGGUCAAUUGUACAGGGAAAUGAAAAUAGAAGGGAUGCUCAAAACACAGAUGGUGUUGAAUAUAGGAGUCUUCUCAGUACUCUAUCUGGCCUGUUCUUAAAAUGAUUUAAUGAAUUGCCUUUUGUUUGGUUUGUACAGUUGAGUUAAGACCUAUGGUACAAAACAUGGUACAGUACAAUGGAUUUAAUGGCUGCGGAUACUGCAAGCAUAAAGAAGAAUACUAUACAAUGACCCACCACCUCCACAAUAAACAGACAGGGAAUUUUAUUUAGCUCAUUGGUGCAUGCUUGUUUGCACAGACAGUGUUAGAAAUUGGGGCCCUCUGUGGGCCCCAAUUAGAUUUGUUAAAUCUAACAAAUCUCUUCAAAGUAGCACUCCAAGAGUUUUGGGGUAAACCAUAUCUGUCAAUGUUUUCUUAGAAAAUGGAGAAAAAUCUAUGCAAAAUUUUAUUUUGUUGUCCCAUGGGCUGGGGGUUGAAUACCAGGGGUCUAAACAAUGAAGGAAAAUAACUGAGAAAGUGAGAUAAAGAUGAAAUGGUCAGUGAGUAAUAAUUAUUGUCACAAGAUAUUAUGAGCAAAAUCCAACCUUCCAGAAUCAACAUCAAAAAUGGUACUACCAGGGUAAUUACUAUAGUACUUUGUGGGGGGGGGGGUUUGACCUGUCCGACAGGGGGAUUUGAGGUUGCUGGGGGAAGGGUUUAAGAGAGGUUCCCCU